UCAUGGUGAUCGGUGAUUUUUUCUAGUAAAAUUAUAAAAAAAAGUUUUGUUUCUGAAAAAGUUUAAAUUGAAGACACUGCUCUUCGGAACCUUGUCAUCGUAUCGGUGACAUUCUUGGCGAGAUUUCCAACCGGGCAAUGUUUGACUUUGAGCGAAGAUUUCCCUUCAAAAACACGUCGGCGAUUUUAACUGUUCGGAUGUGAUGCCUUCCCUAUGUCCUAUAGCAGAGCAGCUCACAAAAGGCCUUCAGCAGCCGGAUGUUCCAGUUCACAAGGAGUGUUCCAUUACUCAUGCAAUCCACCAGCAUUUUGUGAGCCCAGGGACCAUUUGUCAAAUCAAUUGAUGU